GAUGAACGCUGGCGGCGUGCUUAACACAUGCAAGUCGAACGAAGCACUUUAUUUGAUUUCCUUCGGGACUGAUUAUUUUGUGACUGAGUGGCGGACGGGUGAGUAACGCGUGGGUAACCUGCCUUGUACAGGGGGAUAACAGUUGGAAACGGCUGCUAAUACCGCAUAAGCGCACAGCAUCGCAUGAUGCAGUGUGAAAAACUCCGGUGGUAUAAGAUGGACCCGCGUUGGAUUAGCUAGUUGGUGAGGUAACGGCCCACCAAGGCGACGAUCCAUAGCCGACCUGAGAGGGUGACCGGCCACAUUGGGACUGAGACACGGCCCAAACUCCUACGGGAGGCAGCAGCGGGGAAUAUUGCACAAUGGGCGAAAGCCUGAUGCAGCGACGCCGCGUGAGCGAAGAAGUAUUUCGGUAUGUAAAGCUCUAUCAGCAGGGAAGAUAAUGACGGUACCUGACUAAGAAGCACCGGCUAAAUACGUG
rnacentral:rRNA from 1 species